CCACGGAACUGGGCGGUCCCCAGCGAACCAUCCCCAACCAAAAGCCCUGUUCUUUCCAAAAGGCUGAUGGGGUCUCCCCACAGGGUGUUCACACCCCGUCUCCUCGCUCCUGGUAAUUUCCGGAGUUUAAUGAAGUCCUUUGUGGGGGAAGCAAUUGGAUUUCAAUGACCUCCUCCCUGGAGCUCGCCCCAGUGAGUUCUGAUUGACCUAAGAGAAUAUCUUACGCUGGAUGAUUUAUACGGAAAAAAAAAAAAAGAUUUAUUUGGAUUCACAGUUCUGGAGACCAGGAAGUCCAAGAUCAAGUGAAGUGGCCUCAUUUGGUGAGGGCUUCCUGCUGUUUCAUAACAUGGCGGGAGUUGGAAGGGGCACGGGAACUGGAGAGAAAAGGAGGGGGGGACAAUGACUCCUGUGACAGCUCACCCUUUUCUUGUAGAAAGCCACUAAUCCCUUCAUGAGCUUCAGGUUCCUGGAGGAUGGUGCAUUCUUGACCCAGUCACCUCCCACAAGGCCAGGCCUUCCAAAACUCCUUGCCAUGUUGAGGCACCAUGGUUCCCCUGAGAUCGAAUAGUGCUGAGGGCCAUUGCCAAGUAGGAAUGACGCAUCAAAAUUUCCUUGCCAGCGUACCCCAUGUUGCUUAGAUGAAGGACUUGUGGAAAUGGAUUUGCCUUGGACAUUUGCUGUGACAUUGCAUGUAUGUUUGAGAAAGGUGACCCUGCUCAAGGACCAGGGUGGAUCCUGGUUUAGGGAGAAUCCUACUGGAUUAGGGCGGAUCCAGGUUUAGAGUAUAUC